rnacentral:tRNA from 1 species
GUUGGUAUAGCCCAAUGGUAGAGCACAUGCUUAACAUGCAUGAGGUUCUGGGUUAAAUCCCAAGUACCUCCA